AUGUUUUUAUUACAUGGUGCUAUACAGCUUCCCUGGAGACGGUCCAGCAUCGCUCCAUCGUCUCAAGCUUCGGUCAUUUUGGUAUCGCAAACAUGCUAUUCAGCUUCACAGGGAGGGGAAAGAAGCGAGUUGAGGAAGCUGCCAGGAUUUAUUACGACCAAGACGGAGAUGGAGCCAUCACAGAGGAAUGUGAAUGAAACACUGACCUCACGUCAGAAUCCGAAGCCAGAGAAGAUCAUUCAUCUGUGCUGAGGUUCAGAGCAGGAGAGUUUAAAGACUGUCCAAACACCUCAUGUAACGUUUCAUCUCCAUUUGAGCCCACACUGGGAAAUAUACUGCUGUGCCUUUCAAUCACAUACAAUCAACUCACCUGCCAAUCACGUUCUUGCCACACAGACUCAAUACUAUGACAAAGUUCAGCUGCAUUUAUCAGCACACCAGUGAGUCUGUCUCCAUCUUAAACUAAACACUGAUACUAGAUGUUUUGCUGAAUCCCCUCUUCGUCCUCCUGCCUCCUCACUGCUCCUUUAACUAAACCCACCCUUGACAUUUACUGUAGGGGAGGUUAGGAUUUUUUUUCAAAGACUCUUGGGAAGAAGCACACAGACUUAGUGGAUCUCUCCAAGGUGAGGGACAAUGCAUUUUCCAGAGGAGCUCAACUUUAAGCUGUAAAACAGAGAUGCUGACAUGCAACGAAGAGCCACAACACAUUACCUGUAAACUAGCUUCAUUUUCUCAGGCUCCUGCUGCAACAACAUUGCAUGUGCACAGUCCUGUGUCUACACUUUAGGUUACAUUCUGAUAAGUAUAGUUUUAGUCUUGUCAUGGAGGAAAUGGUCUGCAUGGCAGGGGCCUUAUUGAGUCAGACGUCUCCCGUUUUACAUUAAAUUGCAGGAGCCUGAAUUCAAUUUUCAAGGAUUUUUGUUCAAGGAACAUCCCCCACCUUCCUUUAUUUCUGCAGGACAUGUUUUAUGAACCAUUUACGGCAGCUUGGAGUGAUCUCUCUUUUCCUAAUGCAUUUUUAUGCUACAUACAAAGUUUGGCACCACAGCGUUGUCCGACAGUCCAUCUGCCAGCGCCUCACUACCUG
rnacentral:lncRNA from 1 species